AUUUGUUUCUCUCCUUUUGCUUUCUCUCCAUCCCUCUAAAGUGCGUAACAGAAGAAGAAGAAGAAGAUCAUCAUCUUCUCUAGAUUCUACACUUCCUCGCCUUCCUCUCUCGCGUCUUGCAGCACCUACAAGAGCUCCGAUUCCUCUGUCUUGGACGGCGUCUAUCACUCGAGCUGUUUCGAUUGCUUCUCCGUUAAUCAGAGGGAAGCAAACGGUUUCGGGAGCUGCUUCAUCGACGAUCAUCGAGAUGAACCCCGUGAAUGUGUAGAUUAGUCUUCAGAAUCUCAGCAAAGUUGAGAUUUCAGCUUGUGUAUGUCGAGAAACGGAAGGAUGGCGUCGGAUCUUAGCAGAGCUGUUCCCGUCGAGAGAGAUAUCGAGCAGGCAAUCAUUGCUCUGAAGAAGGGAGCUUACUUGCUAAAGUAUGGAAGAAGAGGGAAGCCUAAGUUCUGCCCUUUUCGCCUUUCUAAUGAUGAAACUGUUUUGAUAUGGUUUUCCGGUAAGGAGGAGAAACAUCUGAAGCUAAGCCAUGUUUCUAGGAUCAUAUCUGGACAACGCACUCCUAUUUUUCAAAGGUAUCCUCGUCCCGAGAAGGAAUAUCAGUCUUUUUCACUAAUAUACAGCGAGAGGUCUUUGGAUGUGAUCUGCAAGGAUAAAGAUGAGGCUGAGGUGUGGUUUAGUGGUCUUAAAGCCUUGAUUUCGCAUUUCCGUCAAAGAACUAGGAGGACUGAAUCAAGAAGUGAUGGGACACCAUCUGAAGCUAACAGCCCAAGGACAUAUACCCGGAGAAGCUCUCCUUUGCACUCUCCAUUUAGCAGCAAUGACAGUUUGCAGAAGGAUGGUUCUGAUCACCUUCGCAUUCACAGUCCUUUUGAGAGCCCGCCUAAGCUUGACAAGGCAUUAUCGGACAUGGCAUUAUAUGCAGUUCCUCCAAAAAGAUUUUAUCCCUCAGAUUCUGGAACUAUUUCAGUUCAUUCUGGAGGGUCAGAUAGUAUGCAUGGACAUAUGAGGGGUACGGGCAUGGAUGCUUUUAGAGUUAGUAUGUCAAGUGCUGUUAGUUCCUCGAGUCACGGCUCUGGUCAUGAUGAGGGAGAUGCGUUAGGAGAUGUUUUCAUCUGGGGAGAAGGCAUAGGAGAAGGUGUUUUGGGUGGUGGAAACCGUAGAGUUGGAAGUUCGUUUGACAUAAAAAUGGAUUCCUUAUUGCCAAAAGCUUUAGAAUCUACAAUAGUACUUGACGUCCAAAAUAUUGCUUGUGGUGGACAGCAUGCUGUCCUUGCGACAAAACAAGGAGAAUGUUUUUCUUGGGGAGAGGAGUCUGAAGGCAGGCUUGGCCAUGGUGUUGACUCCAAUAUUCAAAAUCCUAAGCUAAUCGAUGCACUUAACACCACAAAUAUUGAGCUUGUAGCUUGUGGAGAGUUCCAUAGCUGUGCAGUUACUCUUUCCGGGGAUUUGUAUACCUGGGGAAAAGGAGAUUUUGGUGUUCUUGGACAUGGAAAUGAAGUCAGUCAUUGGGUCCCUAAGAGAGUUAACUUUCUGUUGGAAGGGAUACAUGUAUCAUCCAUCGCUUGUGGACCUUACCACACAGCAGUUGUGACCUCUGCUGGGCAGUUGUUUACUUUCGGUGAUGGGACUUUUGGCGUUUUGGGCCACGGAGACAGGAAAAGUGUUUUCACACCUCGGGAGGUUGAUUCUUUGAAAGGUCUUCGCACUGUCCGGGCAGCCUGUGGUGUAUGGCACACAGCAGCAGUUGUGGAAGUCAUGGUUGGGAGCUCGAGCUCGAGUAAUUGCUCUUCUGGGAAGCUCUUCACAUGGGGUGAUGGCGAUAAGUGUCGUCUUGGUCAUGGCAAUAAAGAACCAAAACUUGUGCCUACCUGUGUUGCUGCUCUUGUUGAACCCAAUUUUUGUCAAGUGGCAUGUGGGCACAGUUUAACGGUUGCACUGACAACAUCAGGCGAAGUCUAUACUAUGGGCAGUCCUGUCUAUGGUCAGCUGGGAAACUCAUAUGCAGAUGGAAAAGUUCCAAACCGUGUCGAAGGUAAACUUCACAAGAGUUUUGUCGAAGAGAUUGCCUGCGGUGCUUAUCAUGUCGCAGUCUUAACUGCGAAGACAGAGGUUUACACCUGGGGAAAGGGAUCAAAUGGUAGACUUGGUCAUGGGGAUGUAGAUGAUAGAAACUCGCCUACAUUGGUAGAGUCGCUAAAGGAUAAACAGGUGAAAAGUAUUGCAUGUGGAACUAACUUCACAGCAGCUGUCUGCAUUCACAGAUGGGCAUCGGGGAUGGACCAGUCCAUGUGUUCAGGUUGCCGUCAGCCCUUCAAUUUCAAGAGAAAGAGGCACAACUGCUAUAACUGCGGACUAGUGUUUUGCCAUUCGUGCACUAACAAAAAGUCUCUGAAGGCUUGUAUGGCACCGAACCCGAACAAACCAUAUCGAGUGUGUGACAAGUGCUUUAACAAAUUGAAAAAGACCAUGGAAACUGAUUCAUCGUCUCAUUCUUCUCUGAGUAGAAGAGGAAGCAUUAACCAGGGAUCAGAUACCAUAUACAAAGACGACAAGUUGGAUUCUAGAUCCGAUGGACAGUUAGCUAGAUUUUCACUGAUGGACUCCAUGAAACAAGUGGACAAUCGACAUAAGAAGAACAAGAAAUACGAAUUCAAUAGUAGCCGUGUCUCGCCUAUACCAAGUAGAAGCUCUCAACGUGGUGCGCUUAACAUAGUCAAGACUUUCAAUCCAGUGUUUGGAGCAUCAAAGAAGUUCUUCUCAGCUUCUGUUCCUGGUUCUCGAAUUGUGUCUCGGGCAACUUCUCCAGUAUCAAGACGUCCCAGUCCACCACGUUCAACAACACCAACUCCCACUCUUUCGGGACUUACCACACCGAGAAUUGUAGUGGAUGAUACUAAGAGAACCAGUGAUAAUCUUAGCCAAGAGGUUGUUAAGCUAAGAUCUCAAGUUGAAAGUCUUACAAGGAAGGCACAAUUCCAAGAAGUUGAGCUGGAAAGAACAGCCAAGCAACUCAAAGAGGCGUUGGCAAUCGCUAGCGAAGAAACCACAAGAUGCAAGGCAGCAAAAGAAGUGAUCAAAUCACUUACCGCUCAACUGAAAGACAUGGCUGAGAGGUUACCCGUUGGCUCAGCUCCAGCUCGAGCUAUAAAGUCUCCUUCGUCUCUUAAUUCAUUUGGUUCCAGCCCUGGUCGCAUUGACCCUUUUAAUAUCUUAAACCGACCAAACAGUCAAGAAUCCACCGAGCCAGAUGGAGUAAAUACCCCAAUAUUUUCUAAUGGGACCAUUACACCUGUGUUUGGUAACGGUGAAGCAACGAAUGAAGCACAGAACGAGAAGGAAUGGGUUGAACAAGACGAGCCUGGUGUCUACAUCACACUUACAGCCUUAGCCGGAGGUGCUAGAGACCUCAAACGCGUCCGUUUCAGCCGAAAAAAGUUCAGUGAGAAACAAGCGGAACAGUGGUGGGCAGAUAAGAGAGGAAGAGUCUAUGAACAGUACAAUGUACGGAUCGUUGACAAAGCCAGUGAGGAAAUGCCUCGGUGAAACUCUUUAACCACUUCUCUUAUUUUUCUUCCACGCCCGAGUCAGGUGAGUGCAGGAAUCUCGGGAUAUAACAACAGGUUGUAUAUUCUUUGUGAAGAGGAAAGUAUAUGUAAGACUGAUUUGAGUAUAAGGGAUCAACGUAGCAAAGCAGUGACUGGUUCAAGUGUUUGAUGCAAUCAACACAUAAAUAAUGGUUUCAGAUUGAAAAGAGGACAUGAAGUUGAGGGUAUAGAGCAAAGCAAAUGACUGGUUCAAGUGGCUUUUCUUCUAGCCUUGCUACGACAUGUAGGAAUCUAAAGUUCAUUCAUACUGAAAUUAAAACCUGAUAAGAGUAGCAUUUCUUCUAAUUUCUGCUGAAGUAAUAAUAAAGUUUCUGUAUGUAUGAUCAGUAAUGUUGUUUAUGUAUUCAUAGUAAAACUAGAAUUACAAGUCA